rnacentral:rRNA from 1 species
ACGUGAAACCGUUCAGAGGUAAACCUGAGAAACCAAAAAGUAUCGAACGGGGAGAUUCAUCGUCGACGAGGCCGGCUCCCGUUGGCGCGCGAUGCCCCCGAUCGGACCCUCGCGGUUCCGAUGCGAGAGGGCACACCGUCUUCGGCGAACGACCGGCCACAACGUCGUCGUGCAAUUCUCCCUUAUUAGAACGUUCGGCUCUCGAACUCGCGGCAGAGGCUCGGUCGCCCGGCCGGCUGCGCGACGGUACUCUUACGGUAUCGGGCCGCACACGUUUGCGUCCGACCCGCCGCAAGCUCGGUCGGUAUUCUUUUUACCCGGAGUCAGCGGACCUAGAGUGCCCUCUCCGGGCCCGGCCAGCUGUUAGCAGGCGGUGUUCUCGGACCGGUCAAGCUUCGAAUUACCGGUCGGCGACGCUACUGYUUUGGGUACUCUCGGGACCCGUCUUGAAACACGGACCAAGGAGUCUAACAUGUGCGCGAGUCAUUGGGACGCGUAAACCUAAAGGCGAAAUGAAAGUGAAGGUCUGCCUUCGGGCCGACCGAGGGAGGAUGGACCGCUUGCGUAUCGGUCUCGCACUCCCGGGGCGUCUCGUUCUCGUCUCGAGAAGAGGCGCAUCCAGAGCGUACACGUUGGGACCCGAAAGAUGGUGAACUAUGCCUGGUCAGGACGAAGUCAGGGGAAACCCUGAUGGAGGUCCGUAGCGAUUCUGACG